GGGGCCAUAGUUCAGCGGGAGAACGCCGCCUUUGCACGGCGGAAACGCGGGUUCAAUCCCCGCUGGCUCCACCA
rnacentral:tRNA from 1 species